ACGCGCGGUUCCGCCUCUCGGUCUCCCCCCCUCGCCCGACGGUUCCAUCUCCCCCCGUUUCCCUCACCCUCGCACUCGCUCGCACUCGGCCCUCGCCGCCGUCGCCGUCUUCCCCACCUUGCUGCCGCCCUUGCGCUCUGCCCGCGCUCGACUCAACCGGACGACGAAGGCCCCUCCACCGCGCAGAUCCAACCCCCCUGCUCCUCCGCCGCCUGUGAGUCGAGCCCACUGAAACCGCCGCCUUCAACCGCCACGCGCGGAUCUCCUCGCCUGUCGCAGCAUCGAGAUAAGGCAUCACGCUGUGGCCGCACGCCACUUCCGUCGUCCUGCCCGGGUCAAGGCACUCCCAGGUGCGUUCUGCCAAGGCACGAGCCACGGGCGGAUCGACGGAUCUAGCUGGCGGAGACCCAUCUCCUCCACCGCGGAGAUCCCCCUCCCCCUAGCCUCCGCCACCGCCGAGCCCCUCCGCCGCCAUCGUCUUCUGCUCCUACAUCGCCCUCGGAUCCUACCAGGCACCCAGACCACAAAGCCAUGGCUGCCAGGAAGGAUUCAGACCUCGGAGGCAAAUCAAGUAUCCAAAUUGGUCGGGGCAAGGGCAUGGCAAAGGGAAGAAAGGGAAAAAGUGGAGAAGAAGAAAAUCAUGAUCUGUACUGAAUCAAAAUAAUUUCUAUCAUUUUAGGUUGGCUUAGGAUGGAAAAUUAAGGAUAAUUUGAUCUAAAACCUUUUCUAUUCACAAGGAUGGCUGCAAUUCAGUAUUUUAACUUUUUAAGAGACAACAGUUCUGAUAGAUUUUUGGUCAAAAAGUUUCAUGGUAUUACAUGGUAUACUAAUACUCUAAUUUGGUAGAAUAGUAUGCAUGGUAGUAGAGAUUUUGAUGUGAUCUAGGGCAUGACUUGACAAUUAUUGUGAAUAUACCAUAGUUUGUUGUAAAACA